rnacentral:lncRNA from 1 species
AUGAGAUACUGGAAAUACAAAGGAGUGUAUGUAUUCUCAAACAUAUCUAUUCAUGGCCUCAAGAGGAAUGACAAAAACCUCUUUGCCCACUUCCCAAAGAAAAUGUACAUUCUUAAUUCCUUAGAGUCCUGGGUGUUCCCCCACCAUGGUGUCAAGAGCCUUCAUUCCUUCAUUGGGAAAACUGAUUCCAGUAGCUCAGCCACAGCACAGAAAGCCCAGAAUCCCGUGGGAACGGGCCCAGGGGCAAGCGGCCCCUGGUGCAUCUUCCCUUUGCAUCGAACGUGCAGGUGGCUUGCUGUGGGGAGCAUUCCGCUUUCACUCCUCGCCCCCAACCCCCGUCCGCGUAUCAAAUCUUGGGGCGCUUUGCUGUUAAAUCCCCAGAACAGACCCGAAGAGCGUUUGAAUUUCGCUACAAACCUGCAGUCACCCGUCAGGCCACGAGGUGGCGAUCGGGAGUCACUCAGGUGUAGCCCACGUGGCCGGCGGAGCGCUGAGGGGCGGCGGAGACUGCGGGGGGCUCCUAAUCGUGGCCAAAGAAGGCGGGAGCGAGGACGCCGCCUCCGCGGAGGCUUCUGUGAGCCUUGCACUGCGUGGGUGCUGCUCACCGAGGACGCCGUGGAUUCCUCACGCAACCCUGAGUGGAUGGAAGUGCGCAUUCCCAUUUCACAGGACAGGAGAGCGGGCUCAGAGAUGUUAGGGAGCCUGCCUGAGGCCACACAGCUGGGAAGCGGCAGGCUGGGGUCUGAACCAGGGCUGGGGCAGUGCAGGGACAAACGUCCUGGAGGAAAACUGAGGGAGAUGGGCAGGGAAAAACCAAAAACGAUAGCAACCGCUUUGGAGCCUUGUUAUGCCCGACCCACGGGCUCCUCACGCCGACCUGUGCGGCGGGGACGGUUGCCACCCGCUUCAUUGCUGGGGAUGGUGAGGAUCAGGAAGGCUAAAAGCCUGGGGGGCGCUGCUUUACCCGGAGCACCCUGGCCCCCGCCUACGGCGCUCCCCGAGCCCAGAGGGAGGGCCAUGAGGAGGAAGUAG